rnacentral:lncRNA from 1 species
CUUUGAGGGUCGCCCAAUCUUGAACCCGAUGAUGAAGCAUCGCAUCGGACCAAUCUAUUAAGGUUUAUUACUACUCUCUUCUUUGAGAAGAUCAGCAUACAUCACCCUUCUACAUGAGCGCCAUAUUGUUUAGUGUCCUUUGCAGGCAGGUAGUGGAACCAGCAACCAACGGAUCCCACCCAAGAGAUUCACACUGUGAGUAUAGUUAGAUGACAUCUAUAUAUUAAAUUGAUUGAUCAUAUUAUAUUUGCGUAGAAGAUGUUCAUCUUUUGAUGAGUUGUGCUUCAUUUUGAUUUUCUAAACAGACCUUGUCGGCUGUGUAACUGUGUUGCAUUAGAAGCAUCCGUGACUCAGAAUAUGAGCCUUCAUGACAUCA